rnacentral:rRNA from 1 species
UACAGAGGGGGCAAGCGUUGUCCGGACUGACUGGGCGUAAAGCGCACGCAGGCGGUUGUGGGCGUCGGUGCUGAAAGUCCACUGCUUAACCGCGGGAUGCGUGCCGAUACGGCAUAACUGGAGCGAUGCAGAGGCCAGUGGAAUUGCCGGUGUAGUGGUGAAAUGCGUAGAGAUCGUAAGGAAGGCCAGUGGCGAAGGCGAGUUCCUGGACAGUGACUGACGCUGAGGCACGAAGGCCAGGGGAGCAAACGGG